UACGUAGGGUGCAAGCGUUAAUCGGAAUUACUGGGCGUAAAGCGUGCGCAGGCGGCUUUGCAAGACAGAUGUGAAAUCCCCGGGCUUAACCUGGGAAUGGCGAUGGAGACUGCGAGGCUAGAGUUUGGCAGAGGGGGGUAGAAUUCCACGUGUAGCAGUGAAAUGCGUAGAGAUGUGGAGGAACACCGAUGGCGAAGGCAGCCCCCUGGGUCAAAACUGACGCUCAUGCACGAAAGCGUGGGGAGCAAACAGG
rnacentral:rRNA from 1 species